GCCGGGGCUGGUAGUCUGCACCUGUAGUCCUAGCUACUGGGGAGGCUGAGGAGGAAGGAUCGCUUGAUCCCAGGAGUUCUGGGCUGUAGUGCACUGUAUCAAUAGAUGGGAUGUCCGCGCUUAAGUUCAGGAGGGAGGCCCCCCAGGUUGCCUAAGGAGGGAUGCACUGGCCCAGAUCGGAAACAGCAUGUCAAAACUCCCGUGCUGAUCAGUAAUGGGAUCAUGCCUGUGAACAGCCACUGUGCUCCAGCCUGGGCAACAUAGGGAGACCCUGUCUCUA
ensembl:misc_RNA Metazoa_SRP Metazoan signal recognition particle RNA